AAAGUACACGAUCGUUGAUCGGCAAAGAGACACCGCAAGAAUACUAUCGGCACGACGAAACGAGACUCGAGAGCCGCGAGUUGCGAACACUGUGAGUGAGCAAGAUCGUGGCCGGUACCGUGUCAUGUGGACUCGCUCAAAGAAUGGAUUCGUCCGGCUUCCCCACCACUUGGAUUCACAGCUCUUGCCAUAUAUGGGCAUAAAACGAAAGCGGCUCGCUGAUUGGUCGGUUGGCCGGCUGCCGGCUAGAUUCUCCAAAUGCCGCUUCAAACUGUACGAUACGGGGAGCAUAAUGCCUUCUGGAAGCGUACACUAGCUAAGGGCUUUCCUGACUAACCGUCAGAGCUGUUUGUAGUAGUAAACGUAUCAAUACGUACGAACGUAUAUGUGAAGAUUAUCACGUUCUUUGUGUGCGCGUGCUAGCGACCAGUACCGGCAGUAGGUAUGAGUCAGAAAAAGUUUUGUUAUAUACUUUGGAAUGGUCAACAUUUUUUUUCACUUGAUGCAAGUCGAAACAGUUGUCAUUGAGAUUUAAUGAUCCUCUACUCAUUCGUAAGCUUUCAUGGAAAUUCCUAUCUGUGAAAUAAUAUUAUGAAGCUCGUCGAAUUUAUAUUACGAAAUUUAAUGAAAUAGGAAUCAUGUUACUAAUCCUGGGACAUUUUUCACCUAAUUAUCUUUUACCAUUGAUUUCUUAAAUUUGAGGAAAAUGUGAGAGAACUCUUAUUCAUAGGUCUGAUUUUUUGUUCCAAUUUUAUGCUAAAUUCUUUCCACAAGAAAAGCUCGUAUUUCUUGAUAUAUAUAAUCUAUUUACUGUCUUGUUCACUUAAAAAAUUAUUAGCAAAAAUCAUAUUUCCUUCGCAUUAGUUGUAAUUACAUAACAUAUCUUGGAACUAGAUUUAUUCCUUAACCAGGAUAUGGUAUGGUUAUAUUUGAAGAAAGCGAAUCUUCGAACGAGAAAGGGUAACAAAUUGUCUUUCCGUAAAAUUUGAUAAAACAAUAUUCUGCCUUUACAACAUAGUCAAAUAGAAUAAGCUGGUGUUCGUAGAAGGCCAUUGAUGAUUUAUUUCCAAAAAAUUCAGUUACUGUGUCACUUUCAAUAUCAAUGAAUGUUAGUGACUCAUAUUAUUGUAGUAAUAAUCUGCAUACCAUGUUUAGUACUACUUGUCUUCCUUUAAAAAAUUGCGCCAGAAGGAAAAUAAUUCGCAAGAAGGAUUUAGAAAGUCAGUAGGUCAGACUCCACUAUUUAUGCAUACUCAUUGUCUAGAUUUCGUUUUAGAGUAGGACAACUAAUGUCUGCCUAAAAGUUAACAUGUUUUUGAAGAAUUUUAAGGUAGGCCUAGACUAAGUAAUUAAAUGACAUUCGUCCACCUACUUAUUGCGUGUAGUAUAUGUCAUCUCGGCCGCCUUUUUCAUACAACAGAAGCUAAAAAUAGACUCAAGGGCGCGGAUAAGGGUGCACUGGACUACUACCACGUCACGUAAGCCCUAUGCUUCGGCCCUAUUUCCUGUAUAUGUGUCGGUCCGACGAAAGGCGGCAUGGUGUGUGUGAGUGCAGUGUCUGCUUCAAAAUCGAUACGCGUGUUCGUGCAGUCUACAAUGGUACGUCGUACUUGUGCACGGAAACCACGUGGUGAUGGGAACGUCAAAGUACGACUGGUGAUACUGCUUAUUAUUUUAUCGUAAAACAUUUUGUAAUUAACAUGUUUAUCAGUCGUAAUCAUUAUUAUUAAUAAAACAUGUUGUUAAAAAGCGAAAUAAAAAGAAAUUAAUUAAUAGUGACGUUGAUGAAAUAUCGUUAGCUUAAAUAUACAAUUGUACGUCUUUUAAGUCGUAAUAGCGUUUGAGUUAAUAUAAUAUCGUAAAUCUUAAAAUCUAUUUAAAAAUAUCUUUUUCAAAGUUGGCUCAUUCGUAUUAACGGAACAUUCGCAUACAUACUUUGAACUUAAUGUCUUAUAAGAAAUACAUGUGAGAUAUGUACCAUUGAUUAUUAAUAUAUUGUUUAAGUUUGGACAUUGCGAAAGGUAUAGUGGAGGAAACAGGACAGUUUUAUAAAUACACCUGCCACGUUCCUUUGUCGAAAUAGUGCUUUGAUGACAUAAUCAAUGAAUCAUUUGUACCUAAUAAGAAAUCGUAUCGGGUUAUGCACUCGUUCCUCUACGAGGACGUGUCAAAUUCUGUUCUUGAUUUUAUUUUUGAUUCCGUGUAGAAUUUCAUCAUUAUUUUUAUUUUUUAAAUGUAACCACCAUACUUUAUAUGGACGACAAAUUUAAAUAUACGUCAUUAAUGUGCCAGAUAAACGGAUGGACUGCUUCAUCCAAGUCUAACCUAACCUCGAAACAUCGAAGCCGGCACCCAACUGUCACACGCACACAGCAUCUUUAUACACGUCAAUUUCGUGUAACUCCAUUGUCCUUUUAACCGCUCAGAUCGACUUCUACGUGGUUCAUAUAAAAAUACAUGCUAUAGACGUUUCGAUGAAAAUUACAGUACGGAUAGAAAUGUGCAUAUUUGCAAUUGAUAAUGUCCGCAAUAGGAAGAAUUAAAUCCAAGUAAGGUGGAGGUGCAUUGUGGGCGGCCUGAAAACCCAAUGGUCCGCAAAGCCUCGACCUUGCUUACCAAAUAAGGUCCCGUUCAAGGUCUUCGAGGCCUUGCGUAAGGCUGUGCCAUCGGCAUAACGAUUAACCGAUUAUGUCCACGCUUUAGUCAUCAGUCGUUUUCAGUGAAAGUGUCUGGUGCAGUUUCCAUGAGAAGAUCGAUAUAUUUUGUACAUUCUUUAAUCUCCAUGGGAUCACCGAUUUCGUUCUAUGGAAAGUUCGGAUUGGGCGUGUCUGCCCUACACGGACACGUGCCGUAGGUAACGUCUGGCUCCAGUCGCGCAGUGCCACCGAAAUCAAUACGGAAUGCGACGGUAAGUUCAACGCACCCACCCAGAAGAGUACUUAAGGUUCUUUCUCAUUGGACUAGCCGCGUGCAUUCGGUCCAGACAGUGAAACUAUCGGGAAUCACCGUAACGAGGUCAAAGACCUUAUAUAACACACCUUUCGCGAAUGGAAAAUUUACGGAAAGAAAUGUCGAACUUGAGGAAACGCUUUGAAAGUUGAAGUUGGAGAGGAAUAUUCUUGACAAAAAAUGACUGUAGUUGGGAAUUUCCUGUAAACAGGAUAGAUUUAGCUAUUCGUCGAAAAUUUUUAAUGAAAUUUAUUAUUAUAACAUAUACCGUGAUUUUAUUCUACUUAAUAUUAUUCUCCUCAUUUACUUAAUAUCAUUUUCAUCGUGCGAUCGAUUUGUAGGUAAUAACGAUACGUGGAAAGUUAGAAUUAGCCAUACAAGUUGUUUGAUUUAUUGGGUUUGUGAAUGACUACUCCUCCAAUAGGCAGAUUAAGAUUCCCAAUAAGAUAAUUUGAUAUUGUGAAAUUAGUAAAAGUUAUUUGAAUCUUGAUAAUUCUCAAGAAACGAUGCAAGUGUAAGAUUUUCCAAGUAGCAAGUACUUUAAUUCCCUUUGAAUCGUAUGUAAUACAUACUUCACGGAUUUGUCUUCACUUUCCCUUGGUAAGAACAAAAGUGAUCCCUCUUAUGUACUUCUGUUCUCCUCAAGGUACAACCAAGUGGCUGUUUAUACGUAAUACUUGAAUUGUCCUUAAGUAGGAGGUGAAAGAUUCUCGGUGAACGGUUUCAUCUCGUAUCAUGAUACUCUAAUUCCUUUCGAGGUAUAAUAUACAACUGUAAUCAAAUCUUAAAUGGAAUCGUCUUAAUUCGGUAUAAAAAUUUUCUGAUCGAUACUUAUUUCAUCGAUCGGAAUGUGAUUCCUUAAAAGAGGCAACUAUUUCCAUAUUUGCACAACUUUAUGAUGAAAUAAAUGAAAUGAAUGGAAUGAAGCUAUACGUUGAUAAUAAAUAAAUAAAUACGUGGUGACUGAUUUAUUGGAACAGUAUCAGUCGACGAUAGUGAAAAUAUUAUGUCGAAGAACAAUAUUCUCGUCAGAGGAUCAAAUUUAGUUCUUCGAUCGUUGAUUAGAAAUUUUUAAAUAUACGCAUCAACUAAUUUUCAUUCUUCGGAUAAUACAUCUAAUAUGACGACAGUUGGCAAUUAUUAUCGAGUAAGAGGUAACUAUGCUCGCGAUUAAUUUCUACAUUUAACAUGCAUCAACAACAGUUAAACAUGCAAAGAAUCCGGCCAGAAACGCGCAAUAAUACGCGAUCACUAUAUUUAGUGUUGACUUAUGACUCGUCAGAUCGAGAAACAGUGACGUCGCUUCUGUCUUAGCAGCUAACGAUAAAGAAAACGAUAAUAGUUAGUUGGUGUGCAAAGAUUGUAGGACUUGUUAUUCACGUAUGCGCGACUGAAACUCUGAUUAAAAAUUCGGCGAUGAUUCAAGCUACAUAUCGGCUUUACACUAGAAAACGAUUCAUUUCUUAGUCAGAGUACGUUGUCAUUCAUUCAUCGCUUGUUCGUAUAACACUUGCGUUAUUUUAGGCAUUUACAAUAACGCAUAGUUUUCUUGUUUACAUAUACAUACAUAUAUAUAUAUAUACACGAGUAUAUAUAGUUGCUAUUGCAAUCAGUUUAUCUACUUUCGUCAUUUAUUUUUAUUCUUUAUUUUUGCAAGUUGUAGACUUGGACUUUGUGGCGAUAGUCAUUUAUGAUAUUAUGUUUUAGGCUUCUUUUGAACAAUUAGCGAUAUAAUCUUUCUACAAUUAGAUACAAUACACAACGUGAUACUGCAAAAGCGAAAAGUAAUAAAAGAAUAAGAGUUGACAAUAUCUAUAGAAAUAUAAUCUUUUCGUCUUCAGUGACGCGGAUAAGAUAAUCCGAUUAAGUGUAGUGGAAUAAAGUCGCCUAUGUUCUUACAACUUGAUUGUUUUUCGUGAUGCUUGUAUCUUACAAUCUAUAAUAUUUUGCGGACAAGAUGCUUUUGUCGUCACUCAACAAUAAAAUGACAUACUGAAAGUGUCUUAGAAGUCGCACAAAGUUUGUAAACUUUAUAGAUUAUACUAGUGUUUAGGUUAACAUUAUACUAUUGUUUAAGUCACAAAUUUAAACGUUCCAAAGUGAAAUUUUUCAGGAGACGAAUUUAGGCGAAUUUCAGUUUAGUAUAAUAUAGAAGAUUGAAAUGAAAAUCGUUCGAUGCGAUGGCCAUGGAAUCGAAGAAAAAUCGGAUUCAUCAAUGCCGGUAGGAAGUAUACGCGUAUAUUUCUCGUGGUGAGUCGUCGAAUCGAAGGUAAAAAUGACGACCAUUCUACUCUAGACGGCACGCGAGAACCGCGGUCUUCGGCUUUGACGAGUGACGUUGGAGAUUCUUGGGAUCUGACCUUGCACACGCGACUGACCCAGAACAGGUAGACAACCGGUAAAACGAAUGUGUUCACAUACGUCGCUGGCUGCUACUUACGUUCUUGACUCCGUUUUCUUGCACGUAUCUGAGUGUGUCCGCGGGAAGUCAAGGAUUUGGAACACGGCCGUGGAUCGCUAGGAUUACCAAAAACGAUAAUUUCGUCCUUCCGCUUAUUCAAAUCGUCUCGCGAGGCUACGAUGUACAAGAAUUAGAAUAUAAUAAUAUCACGUUUGAAGAUCGUAGGCAAAGCACAUGAUAAGUAGAUAAUUUUAGUAAUUUCAACAAGAAUUUUUGAUAAUUCUUUCGAUAAUAUAAAAGUCGCAGCUAAAAAUGGAAAGAACUUAUUAGGUUGACAAAUAUAAGUAACAAAAUUUUGUAGAGGCCAAAAAGAAGGUAUCGUACAACUGUUGACGACAAUUAAAUAUUUUAAUAUGCUCGAUAUUGUAAGAAGCGCUAAUUUUGAAGUUACGAAAAGGGCGGUAAAAUACAUCUUUAACAUGAAGAUCAGAUAAAAGAACAAUUUUAGUAACUCUUCAUUUAUCGAUGAUCGAUCAUUACGAUUAUUUCCAAAAACGUUGCACAUUCGACAACAUACAUACUUACGUAAAUCGUUCCAGGAAAGCUGACGUCGAUGUUCACCGGGAAAUAAUGAGCAAGAAAGACCAAUAAUCGCGUUAUUACGAAAUAACGAGCAUGAAACACGAAAGCGUAAUACAUCAAUCAUUUGCGAAAGUUAAUAUUUCUUGCACUAGUGAUUUUAAACGGACAUACACGUAAGUGAGAAGGAACGCCCAUGCUCGAUAGUUGUACGAGGAUUAAACAAAUAAGAUUAUAUCAUGCCGUAAUGAACGCGCUACAAAGGAAAAUUUUCCUCUUGGUAAUUAUCGCUUAGAACGUAAUAUAAUUACGUUAUACUUUACUAUCAUUAUGAUAAUGUACCAAUAUAAUAUUCUUAAUAAUUUUUUGCGGGGAUUUUAUACUUUAUUUCUUCGGAGAUAAAUUUAUCAAGACCAGAGGGAAGGUAAUUCAUUUUUAUUUCUUAGUCGUAUUCGUUAAAAAUGUAUCUGUACAGAUUAGACAGUAUACGUUUAAAAAUAUUUGAAAUAUCUAACAUUAUGUAUCUAUAUCUUUUGAACUAACAAGAAGUAAAUAACAGUAUUGAAUUAUAUGCGAAUGAUAACGAUAACAUCCACAUGUUUUUGAAAUGUACAAGGCAACUUCAGUUUUCCAAAUUGUAGCGUUUUACGCGACAACGAUAGCAGGAAGGUAUUGUAUUUAGCCUUAAUGUAUGUAUGUAUGUAUGUCUGUCUGUCUGUCUGUUUGGUUGUUUGUUUGUUUGUACGCUUGUAACUUAAAAACGGCUUGACCGAGUCUAACUUUACAGAUCUCGAUGGAUUCGUGUCCAUUUCGGGAACGUUAUAGCAUAUUAAAGAAACAAAAUAACAAGAGAGAUGGAAAAAACGUUCAGGUGCCUAAAUCGCUGAAUUUAGGAAGGGAAUAUGUCUAUUUUCCUUUUAUUGCAGCGCAUUUACUUGUUGGUUUUGACGACGACGUCAAAAACGACGAAAUAAAAUAAAUAUUAAAAGCAAAAUGAUAACCAAGACGCAAUGUCGCAAAGACUCAGACAAAUAUGAGGUAAAGAAAAAAAAGUUUAGAUAUUUUUAAGUAACUGAUAUACGUAGUUACCGAAUUUGCAGAUAGGCGACAGUAAUCGACCAGUCACAGUAUUUACAAAGUUUAAUCACUGUGAUAAUUUUUAAUCGGUGCGGACGCCCAACUAUGUCAUUUUCAAACGUUUCUUACCUGUUACCCUGAUAACUAUAUAUCGGUUACUUACAAACAUCUGAAUACGCAAGUGCCUCGUAUUUCUCAGUGAAACAUACAUCUUGUUUUUUUUUUUAGUUUUGCGUAGACGGGUAUCGUCUUUCUCUUAACGUUUAUUCUUUAGUUUUACGUUUUAAUUAGCUUCGAAGCAACACCGAAUAGAAGUUGGCGCGUUACUUUUUCUGCAGGAAGUUGGAUUACUUUGCGCCAAGUUAAAUUCGUCCUAGCUUUUCCUCUUUGCCAUCGGUAUCGGAGUUUUGCGGCGAAACGAUAGUCGACUAUCGCUUUCGAUUUUCUGCUUUUCCAGAAACUUAUACGCCUCGUCGAAGAGAUGUCCAGCUCGAAAACUUGCAAUGUUCUCCGUUUACACGUACAAACGAACCAUCGUCGUGCUAAUUUCUUCGCACUUCUUUUUAUCACCUGUACUCGUUUCGAUCCAUUUUCUAGUCUACUUUCUAUCGAUCUUUCGAAAUCCAUUGGGUCACGCGACAAAAGGAUAUUUCCGCAUCAUUUGAUUUUUCGAAACUGCAACGUCUCGAUCGUCAUUGGCUACUUUCUGAUGAAACUCGUUGAAGCAAAAACCGGAACGAUCGACGUCCGCUUUCUGUUCUCACAGUCGUAUUGUAAGCGGUCCGAGCGAUUCGAGGAAAAGUGUAAUCUCGCGAAGAAAGCUUCUAAUGGAAAGAAACUAGUCGUCGAAGUCCAUCAUAGUUUUCACGUCUUCGUACAGCUCGUGUGUUAAGCUUAUGCGCGAGACGCAUGCAUAUACAUUACCGCUCAAAAGUAUACGAAUACUUGUUUCUUUUACUUGUUUCACCUACGAUGAAUAAAAUUUUAUUUCGGGAAGUAAAGUAUACUUUUAAAUGGAGAGUAAAAUAUCUUGUAACAGUGUGCAAUAUUUAUAAAAUUUAUGACAUAUUUGUUGAUUCCACAAGGAGAUAGUAAAUAUUAGUCUCGAUCGUUAGUUUGCCAUUAAUUAAUAUAUUCUACUAAUAUUCGCAUAUGCUUGAUAUAAAUGAAGCAAAGUGUCCAGCGUUUAUGAGCAACAGUGUACGCGCGUUAGACCAAGUGCACGAUUCUCGAUGCAUACGAAAGUGGAACAGCUACAUAGCUAGGUAUGUUGUCUAGAUGGCAAGACGACGACCGGUGUCCUUGUUCAGAGAAGCAAGGUCUUGCCUUAUCUGUACAACUUUGGAACUUGCCAGUUGUUAGCAAUCUAUGCAGCUCAACCGGUCCCCACCGUUCCUUAUUUACCAUUCGCAGAAAUAUUAAGAACCUCUGUGACCUACAAAUAUUGCGCUUAAUCUUUGACUUUCCUGAAACUGAUAUGUUUGACAUGUAUCGUCAAACAUUGAACGUUUAAUCUAAACUAAUUGAAAUACGAUCGUGACAUUUUUAUAACAAUACAUAGAUGAUACAUAGUUUAUACAGAUUUUUGAUAGUUGGCGAGCGAAUUUUUUUUUAUUUGAUUUUUGGUAUUAAAUAUGUGUUCAUUAUCCCUAUAAAACGUUGAUUUUGUCGUUAAUCUUUCACGAAAAUUGGUAAAUCUAGUUUGAAAUGCUUAAGAGUUAAGAGAAGACUCAGAAGAUUCUCUCUUUUUUUAUCAAUUACGAUAUGUUAAGAUAUUCUUUUUUAGAUAUUAAUGAUGCAGCUCGACGCAAGUGCAUUUAUGUUGUCAAUUUUUUCAAUGACAUUACCAUUACGAUCCUCGAUAUCUGUGUCACGCAGGGGAGGUCGAAAUUAAUCGGAAGAGAACCUAAACGUCCUAAAGCAAUGCUUACGCGCGCUGCAGUUGAUUACAAUUAGCUCACCCUGUACAUGCGAGAGUUCUCUAUCAGUGUAGUCAUGCGGAUGUAGGUCGCCUCUUCCAGCUGAACUCAUCUUCUUUGGUAGUGCAAGAUACUUUCGAAUUUUCAGUCAUUUUUUUUCUUCUUA